UAAAUGUUCACUUCGUCAAAUUUAAAUUUUGGAUUCGCUUCUGCUAUCCAUUAUUUGCAGAUGCAGCAGAGUCGUUCGAGAUGUUGCAUUCUGAAUAUAGGGAAAGCAGAACAACAAUAUUUCCAGUUUUCCAUCCAUGGGAAGGUAAACAGUACGAUACGUUAUCUCAUUUUUCGAAAAACUUCAUGUUAUUUAUCUCUGCGCGAUUGGAAGAGAGACUCUAGAUGCUAUCGACAACGA
rnacentral:misc_RNA from 1 species